AGCGCCGUGCAGCGUUGCGCCUACGCGGAACCAGCGGCAUUUCACAGCGUAACACGGCGUG
rnacentral:pre_miRNA from 1 species